ACUCAAAUGAAUUGACGGGGACCCGCACAAGCAGCGGAGCAUGUGGUUUAAUUCGACGCAACGCGAAGAACCUUACCUGGGCUUGACAUGUUCUUGACAGCUCUGGAAACAGAGUCUCCCUUCGGGGCAAGAUCACAGGUGGUGCAUGGCUGUCGUCAGCUCGUGUCGUGAGAUGUUGGGUUAAGUCCCGCAACGAGCGCAACCCCCGUCGCAUGUUGCCAGCAUUUAGUUGGGGACUCAUGUGAGACUGCCGGUGACAAACCGGAGGAAGGUGGGGAUGACGUCAAGUCAUCAUGCCCCUUAUGUCCAGGGCUACACACGUGCUACAUUGGCGCGUACAGAGGGCUGCGAUACCGCGAGGUGGAGCGAAUCCCUCAAAGCGCGUCUCGGUUCGGAUUGCAGGCUGAAACCCGCCUGCAUGAAGGUGGAGUUGCUAGUAAUCGCGGAUCAGCAUUGCCGCGGUGAAUACGUUCCCGGGUCUUGUACACACCGCCCGU
rnacentral:rRNA from 1 species